UGCAGAAUCCCGUGAACCAUCGAGUCUUUGAACGCAAGUUGCGCCCGAGGGACCCUCCCGAGGGCACGCCUGCCUCAUGGGCGUUAGAAGCCCAUCCACGCUCUGUUGCCAACGGCAAAGAUGCGGACAUUGGCUCUCCGAACCUCUAGGUGCGGUGGGCCUAAGUGUGCGGCCGUCGCAUGUGGCCGGGAGCGGCGAGUGGUGGGCUACUGUGCACGUCACCCCGAGCCCCGUACCGACACAGGGCCUUUUAUGACCCCUAACGAGGAGCCUGCCGUCGCGGCUCGCGCUGCGCGGCGCCUUCGGACCGAUACCCCAGGUCAGGCGGGGCUACCCGCUGAGUUUAAGCAUAUAAAUAAGCGGAGGAGAAGAAACUUACAAGGAUUCCCCUAGUAACGGCGAGCGAACCGGGAGCAGCCCAGCCUUAGAAUUGCGGUGGCACUGCCGCCCGA
rnacentral:rRNA from 1 species